rnacentral:tRNA from 1 species
AUUCAGGUAGUUUAAAUAAAAUAUUGAUUUGUGAUGUCAAAGAAAUAAUAUAUUAUUCUGAAUA